GACGAACGCUGGCGGCGUGCUUAACACAUGCAAGUCGAACGGAAAGGCCCUGCUUUUGUGGGGUGCUCGAGUGGCGAACGGGUGAGUAACACGUGAGUAACCUGCCCUUGACUUUGGGAUAACUUCAGGAAACUGGGGCUAAUACCGGAUAGGAGCUCCUGCUGCAUGGUGGGGGUUGGAAAGUUUCGGCGGUUGGGGAUGGACUCGCGGCCUAUCAGCUUGUUGGUGGGGUAGUGGCUUACCAAGGCUUUGACGGGUAGCCGGCCUGAGAGGGUGACCGGCCACAUUGGGACUGAGAUACGGCCCAGACUCCUACGGGAGGCAGCAGUGGGGAAUAUUGCACAAUGGGCGGAAGCCUGAUGCAGCAACGCCGCGUGCGGGAUGACGGCCUUCGGGUUGUAAACCGCUUUCGCCUGUGACGAAGCGUGAGUGACGGUAAUGGGUGAAGAAGCACCGGCUAACUACGUG
rnacentral:rRNA from 1 species